CCUACGGGUGGCAGCAGUGAGGAAUAUUGGUCAAUGGACGAGAGUCUGAACCAGCCAAGUAGCGUGAAGGAUGACUGCCCUAUGGGUUGUAAACUUCUUUUAUAUGGGAAUAAAAUGUUCCACGUGUGGGAUUUUGUAUGUACCAUAUGAAUAAGGAUCGGCUAACUCCGUGCCAGCAGCCGCGGUAAUACGGAGGAUCCGAGCGUUAUCCGGAUUUAUUGGGUUUAAAGGGAGCGUAGGUGGAUUGUUAAGUCAGUUGUGAAAGUUUGCGGCUCAACCGUAAAAUUGCAGUUGAAACUGGCAGUCGUGAGUACAGUAGAGGUGUGCGGAAUUGGGGGUGUAGCGGUGAAAUGCUUAGAUAUCACGAAGAACGCCGAGUGCGAGGGCAGCUGACUGGACUGCAACUGACACUGAGGCUCGAAAGUGUGGGUAUCAAACAGGAUUAGAUACCCCAGUAGUC
rnacentral:rRNA from 1 species